rnacentral:rRNA from 1 species
UUAAGCGACUAAGCGUACACGGUGGAUGCCCUGGCAGUCAGAGGCGAUGAAGGACGUGCUAAUCUGCGAAAAGCGUCGGUAAGGUGAUAUGAACCGUUAUAACCGGCGAUGUCCGAAUGGGGAAACCCAGUGUGAUUCGUCACACUAUCGUUAACUGAAUACAUAGGUUAACGAGGCGAACCGGGGGAACUGAAACAUCUAAGUACCCCGAGGAAAAGAAAUCAACCGAGAUUCCCCCAGUAGCGGCGAGCGAACGGGGAGCAGCCCAGAGUCUGAAUCAGCUUGUGUGUUAGUGGAACGGUCUGGAAAGUCCGACGGUACAGGGUGAUAGUCCCGUACACCAAAAUGCACAGGUUGUGAACUCGAAGAGUAGGGCGGGACACGUGGUAUCCUGUCUGAAUAUGGGGGGACCAUCCUCCAAGGCUAAAUACUCCUGACUGACCGAUAGUGAACCAGUACCGUGAGGGAAAGGCGAAAAGAACCCCGGCGAGGGGAGUGAAAAAGAACCUGAAACCGUGUACGUACAAGCAGUGGGAGCACCUUCGGGUGUGACUGCGUACCUUUUGUAUAAUGGGUCAGCGACUUAUAUUCUGUAGCAAGGUUAACCGUAUAGGGGAGCCGCAGGGAAACCGAGUCUUAACUGGGCGUUAAGUUGCAGGGUAUAGACCCGAAACCCGGUGAUCUAGCCAUGGGCAGGUUGAAGGUUGGGUAACACUAACUGGAGGACCGAACCGACUAAUGUUGAAAAAUUAGCGGAUGACUUGUGGCUGGGGGUGAAAGGCCAAUCAAACCGGGAGAUAGCUGGUUCUCCCCGAAAGCUAUUUAGGUAGCGCCUCGUGAAUUCAUCUUCGGGGGUAGAGCACUGUUUCGGCUAGGGGGUCAUCCCGACUUACCAACCCGAUGCAAACUACGAAUACCGAAGAAUGUUAUCACGGGAGACACACGGCGGGUGCUAACGUCCGUCGUGAAGAGGGAAACAACCCAGACCGCCAGCUAAGGUCCCAAAGUCAUGGUUAAGUGGGAAACGAUGUGGGAAGGCACAGACAGCCAGGAUGUUGGCUUAGAAGCAGCCAUCAUUUAAAGAAAGCGUAAUAGCUCACUGGUCGAGUCGGCCUGCGCGGAAGAUGUAACGGGGCUAAACCAUGCACCGAAGCUGCGGCAGCGACACUAUGUGUUGUUGGGUAGGGGAGCGUUCUGUAAGCCUGCGAAGGUGUGCUGUGAGGCAUGCUGGAGGUAUCAGAAGUGCGAAUGCUGACAUAAGUAACGAUAAAGCGGGUGAAAAGCCCGCUCGCCGGAAGACCAAGGGUUCCUGUCCAACGUUAAUCGGGGCAGGGUGAGUCGACCCCUAAGGCGAGGCCGAAAGGCGUAGUCGAUGGGAAACAGGUUAAUAUUCCUGUACUUGGUGUUACUGCGAAGGGGGGACGGAGAAGGCUAUGUUAGCCGGGCGACGGUUGUCCCGGUUUAAGCAUGUAGGCUGGUUAUCCAGGCAAAUCCGGAUAAUCAAGGCUGAGGUGUGAUGACGAGGCACUACGGUGCUGAAGUAACAAAUGCCCUGCUUCCAGGAAAAGCCUCUAAGCAUCAGGUAACAUUAAAUCGUACCCCAAACCGACACAGGUGGUCAGGUAGAGAAUACCAAGGCGCUUGAGAGAACUCGGGUGAAGGAACUAGGCAAAAUGGUGCCGUAACUUCGGGAGAAGGCACGCUGGUGUGUAGGUGAAGUCCCUGCGGAUGGAGCUGAGACCAGUCGAAGAUACCAGCUGGCUGCAACUGUUUAUUAAAAACACAGCACUGUGCAAACACGAAAGUGGACGUAUACGGUGUGACGCCUGCCCGGUGCCGGAAGGUUAAUUGAUGGGGUUAUCCGUAAGGAGAAGCUCUUGAUCGAAGCCCCGGUAAACGGCGGCCGUAACUAUAACGGUCCUAAGGUAGCGAAAUUCCUUGUCGGGUAAGUUCCGACCUGCACGAAUGGCGUAAUGAUGGCCAGGCUGUCUCCACCCGAGACUCAGUGAAAUUGAACUCGCUGUGAAGAUGCAGUGUACCCGCGGCAAGACGGAAAGACCCCGUGAACCUUUACUAUAGCUUGACACUGAACAUUGAGCCUUGAUGUGUAGGAUAGGUGGGAGGCUUUGAAGCGUGGACGCCAGUCUGCGUGGAGCCAACCUUGAAAUACCACCCUUUAAUGUUUGAUGUUCUAACGUUGGCCCCUGACCGGGGUUGCGGACAGUGUCUGGUGGGUAGUUUGACUGGGGCGGUCUCCUCCCAAAGCGUAACGGAGGAGCACGAAGGUUAGCUAAUCCUGGUCGGACAUCAGGAGGUUAGUGCAAUGGCAUAAGCUAGCUUGACUGCGAGCGUGACGGCGCGAGCAGGUGCGAAAGCAGGUCAUAGUGAUCCGGUGGUUCUGAAUGGAAGGGCCAUCGCUCAACGGAUAAAAGGUACUCCGGGGAUAACAGGCUGAUACCGCCCAAGAGUUCAUAUCGACGGCGGUGUUUGGCACCUCGAUGUCGGCUCAUCACAUCCUGGGGCUGAAGUAGGUCCCAAGGGUAUGGCUGUUCGCCAUUUAAAGUGGUACGCGAGCUGGGUUUAGAACGUCGUGAGACAGUUCGGUCCCUAUCUGCCGUGGGCGCUGGAGAAUUGAGGGGGGCUGCUCCUAGUACGAGAGGACCGGAGUGGACGCAUCACUGGUGUUCGGGUUGUCAUGCCAAUGGCACUGCCCGGUAGCUAAAUGCGGAAGAGAUAAGUGCUGAAAGCAUCUAAGCACGAAACUUGCCCCGAGAUGAGUUCUCCCUGAGACUUUAAGUCUCCUGAAGGAACGUUGAAGACGACGACGUUGAUAGGCCGGGUGUGUAAGCGCAGCGAUGCGUUGAGCUAACCGGUACUAAUGAACCGUGAGGCUUAACCU